UACGAAGGGGGCUAGCGUUGCUCGGAAUCACUGGGCGUAAAGCGCACGUAGGCGGACUCUUAAGUCGGUGGUGAAAUCCUGGAGCUCAACUCCAGAACUGCCUUCGAUACUGGGAGUCUCGAGUCCGGGAGAGGUGAGUGGAACUGCGAGUGUAGAGGUGAAAUUCGUAGAUAUUCGCAAGAACACCAGUGGCGAAGGCGGCUCACUGGCCCGGUACUGACGCUGAGGUGCGAAAAGCGUGGGGAGCAAACAGG
rnacentral:rRNA from 1 species